AUGAGCAGCACUACAAUUGCAGGCCUGUUGGGAAAGCAAGGAAGAGCCUUCAGAACUAAGCUGGGAAUGAAAACAACUGCAGGUGACUGACUUGUCAAGGAGCUGAGCAGAAAACUGAAGUUAUUAGUGCAGCUGAAGUAACUCAGCAAGCUGUUACUUCCAGCCACUCCAAGCAUCCAAGGAUCUCACGGGAAGAACGCAGAUGCUUAACUCAGCUCUGAGGACAUUUACCAGCACAAAAAGCCAAGGUGACAGAGGAGUUCCAAGAAGCCCAGCUGCCCUCCCAGCUGUCAGUACAGGGCAUCAGGUCUGCAUUUGUUGUGUCAGCAGCAGAGAAGGGUCGGGCAGCAGCCCAAAGUGGCUGCAGGAUGCUUACCGGUCCGUCUGGAGAACAUGGAUGAGGUGUUCCAUGGCUUGUAUGCCGACCUCCAACCGGUACUUCUGUUCGGAGGAGAGAAAAAAGAUAAAUGGUCGAGCCCAAACCCAAACAAAGCCUUUUUAACAGUACCUGGCAAAGCUACUUGAAAUUCACGCCGCUACUCAGGAAGUUGGCUACUUACCUUGGAU